AUGGGCGCAAGCCUGAUCCCCCAUGCCGCGUGUGUGAAGAAGGCUCUUCGGUUGUAAAGCACUUUCAGUAGGGAGGAAGGCCAGAGUGUUAAUAGCGCUUUGGAUUGACGUUACCUACAGAAGCAGCACCGGCUAACUCCGUGCCAGCAGCCGCGGUAAUACGGAGGGUGCAAGCGUUAAUCGGAAUUACUGGGCGUAAAGCGCGCGUAGGCGGUUUGUUAAGUGUGAUGUGAAAGCCCAGGGCUCAACCUUGGAACUGCAUCACAUACUGGCAAGCUAGAGUACGGUAGAGGGGGG
rnacentral:rRNA from 1 species